rnacentral:misc_RNA from 1 species
AUUUUUUUAUAUGUACAUUUGACUUUAAAUAAGUAAAAUUAUAUUUGUAAUAAGUACUUUAGUCCAUAUUUCGGUGGUAUAAUCAAUAAGCAGUAAAUCAUAUUGGAAUAAUUUAAAUUUUUUAAAGCGAAUAGAAGAAAUUGCAGGAUGAAUUUUAAUCAUUCAAGUACCAUCAGUUCAACCACAAAUUUCAGAUCCGAAUACAGUAUUGCACCUAAUGAUGAAACCUGUGGCGAUAGCAGUUACAAUUGUACCUUCAGUCGUCCCAGCAGACAUGAUAUUAGAAUGAUGGCGGGUUUAAAGAUAUUUGCCUUUAUACUGAUGCGCGUUUGGUGCAAAGGGAGAAAGGAAAUCAAACAAUUAAAACAAUCUAUCGAAGAUUUAAAAGAUAUCUGUAUGAGAUCGGAAAAUCAAAUGCGUGUCUACAGCACUUUAAUGCGAGUAGAACAAAGUCGAAACAGUGAACUGACAGCACAGUUGAAAAGAACUUUGAAUAAUUUGAAACGCAAAACAGCAUCCUACGAAAUCACUGCAAUAAAAUUAUCCAAUUUAAAGGCAAAUAAAGUUCUAUUGGAACAUGAACUCAAAAAUAGAUACGAGGAAUAUGAAGUCCUGCAUGAAGUUUUGUCACAAACCAAAACUGAACUAUUCCGAUCCAUGAUGGAACAAAGAAGUUUACAAAUGGAACUUUGCAAAUCGCAGCGCUGUGUGCAGUCGUUGGAAAUUGAAAAAAAUGGUCUCAUAAUGCAGAUAUGUAACCUUAAAAAAGAGCAUCGUUCAAUCGAAGAACAGUUAAAUGUUAAUGAUAAUAAACUUAUUGAAGUCAAAGACUCGGUGGAGGAAUGUCAACCAAAAUUAAUAGAUACUCAAAAAGAUUAUAUAUUUAAUGAUUUUGCUAAUCCAACGACAGUUUCCGACAAAUUGCCAAAUUUAUAUGUUACAGAAAGACAAAACAGUGCAAAAAGCCAGUCCUCACAACGUUUAGCUUUGUACUGGGCACGUUUCCUGAAAUAUCCAAAAUAUACCUUACGUUGUGUUCAUGUUUUAACUUGGUAUCUAUUGCCCGCCAUGCCGCCACCUUCGACAAAAUUCACAUAAAAGUUAAUCUUAUUGAUUAAUUUAAUUGUAAAUUACGUCUUUAUCUAAAACACUAUAAUGUUUAAAUCCGUUUUUGGUUAUUAUAUUACAGCUUGUUUUGCAAAUAUCUUAGUUUAUAUUAAGUAAAAUAAGAUGUUUGCAGAUCUGUAAUCUGAUAGACCUUAUAAUAAGAAUUCCCAGCAAAAACAAAACGAAGUACUUCCAAUAGAAUAACAUUUAUCACCACUUCAAAAGUAGCGUUAAGUGAAUUUUUUAACUUCUGUGGAAAUGAAGUUUAUUGAUGUCAAAAGAAGCGAAAGGCAUCCAAGUUUUUUUUUUUUUAAUUGAAAGAAUAUUUUUUGUACUGAAAUCUUCUGAAUUAUACCAAUUUUAUUUUAG